GUGGGUAGUUUGACUGGGGCGGUCUCCUCCUAAAGAGUAACGGAGGAGCACGAAGGUUGGCUAAUCCUGGUCGGACAUCAGGAGGUUAGUGCAAUGGCAUAAGCCAGCUUGACUGCGAGCGUGACGGCGCGAGCAGGUGCGAAAGCAGGUCAUAGUGAUCCGGUGGUUCUGAAUGGAAGGGCCAUCGCUCAACGGAUAAAAGGUACUCCGGGGAUAACAGGCUGAUACCGCCCAAGAGUUCAUAUCGACGGCGGUGUUUGGCACCUCGAUGUCGGCUCAUCACAUCCUGGGGCUGAAGUAGGUCCCAAGGGUAUGGCUGUUCGCCAUUUAAAGUGGUACGCGAGCUGGGUUUAGAACGUCGUGAGACAGUUCGGUCCCUAUCUGCCGUGGGCGCUGGAGAACUGAGGGGGGCUGCUCCUAGUACGAGAGGACCGGAGUGGACGCAUCACUGGUGUUCGGGUUGUCAUGCCAAUGGCACUGCCCGGUAGCUAAAUGCGGAAGAGAUAAGUGCUGAAAGCAUCUAAGCACGAAACUUGCCCCGAGAUGAGUUCUCCCUGAGACUUUAGGUCUCCUGAAGGAACGUU
rnacentral:rRNA from 1 species